rnacentral:lncRNA from 12 species
UUCAGAUUCAGGACAGCCCUGAUGAGAGGGGACGAGGAUGAUGCUCCCCUAGAAACCCUUUGUUGGGAGUGGGCACCAUCCUCCCUGCUGCUGCUGUUCCCAGCCUUGGAAAGGACAAUUCUGUGCAAGUUUUGGUUCUCACAUCCUCAGCUCUUCAAGCUGUGAGGAGGAAACCAGUGUGGCAGGGCUGUGUCCUUCCUGGAAGUGCUCUGGGAUGCCCUGAGUGCUGUGACCCCACUGCACCCUGACCAUCAGAGCCCUCAGACCUGACCUUCAGCCUUAUUUCCUAAAGAAAUGAUGCUUUGGGU